GAUGAACGCUAGCGGGAGGCCUAACACAUGCAAGCCGAGCGGUAGAAAGUAGCUUGCUACUUCUGAGAGCGGCGUACGGGUGCGUAACACGUGUGCAACCUGCCUUUAUCUGGAGAAUAGCCUUUCGAAAGGAAGAUUAAUGCUCCAUAACAUAUUGAAUGGCAUCAUUUAAUAUUGAAAGCUCCGGCGGAUAGAGAUGGGCACGCGCAAGAUUAGUUAGUUGGUGAGGUAACGGCUCACCAAGGCGAUGAUCUUUAGGGGGCCUGAGAGGGUGAUCCCCCACACUGGUACUGAGACACGGACCAGACUCCUACGGGAGGCAGCAGUGAGGAAUAUUGGACAAUGGGUGAAAGCCUGAUCCAGCCAUCCCGCGUGAAGGAUGACGGCCCUAUGGGUUGUAAACUUCUUUUGUAUAGGGAUAAACCUACCCUCGUGAGGGUAGCUGAAGGUACUAUACGAAUAAGCACCGGCUAACUCCGUGCCAGCCGCCGCCGUAAGAC
rnacentral:rRNA from 1 species